UUCUCUCUAAUUAACCUAUCAGUUGAUUGUAGGUAAUUGUAACUAAUUAUAGAUCUAUGGAAGACGAUAACUUAUUUUUGGAAAUAAAGAGCAAAGCUUGAGAUCAAAGAAGGUGGCAGUAACACAAUUUUCAAUCACAUAAUGAAGAAAACUAGAUAAAAAUGAAAAAGAAAGUACAAAAAGAAAAUUACCUCAAAGAGUUCAGAGCAUAU
rnacentral:lncRNA from 1 species